GUCUCCGUGGCGUAACGGUCAGCGCAGCCGCCUCCGGAGCGGGAAUCCCGGGUUCGUGACCCGGCGGAGACG